rnacentral:rRNA from 1 species
GAUUGAACGCUGGCGGCAGGCCUAACACAUGCAAGUCGAGCGGAUGAAGGGAGCUUGCUCCUGGAUUCAGCGGCGGACGGGUGAGUAAUGCCUAGGAAUCUGCCUGGUAGUGGGGGAUAACGUCCGGAAACGGGCGCUAAUACCGCAUACGUCCUGAGGGAGAAAGUGGGGGAUCUUCGGACCUCACGCUAUCAGAUGAGCCUAGGUCGGAUUAGCUAGUUGGUGGGGUAAAGGCCUACCAAGGCGACGAUCCGUAACUGGUCUGAGAGGAUGAUCAGUCACACUGGAACUGAGACACGGCCCAGACUCCUACGGGAGGCAGCAGUGGGGAAUAUUGGACAAUGGGCGAAAGCCUGAUCCAGCCAUGCCGCGUGUGUGAAGAAGGUCUUCGGAUUGUAAAGCACUUUAAGUUGGGAGGAAGGGCAGUAAGUUAAUACCUUGCUGUUUUGACGUUACCAACAGAAUAAGCACCGGCUAACUUCGUGCCAGCAGCCGCGGUAAUACGAAGGGUGCAAGCGUUAAUCGGAAUUACUGGGCGUAAAGCGCGCGUAGGUGGUUCAGCAAGUUGGAUGUGAAAUCCCCGGGCUCAACCUGGGAACUGCAUCCAAAACUACUGAGCUAGAGUACGGUAGAGGGUGGUGGAAUUUCCUGUGUAGCGGUGAAAUGCGUAGAUAUAGGAAGGAACACCAGUGGCGAAGGCGACCACCUGGACUGAUACUGACACUGAGGUGCGAAAGCGUGGGGAGCAAACAGGAUUAGAUACCCUGGUAGUCCACGCCGUAAACGAUGUCGACUAGCCGUUGGGAUCCUUGAGAUCUUAGUGGCGCAGCUAACGCGAUAAGUCGACCGCCUGGGGAGUACGGCCGCAAGGUUAAAACUCAAAUGAAUUGACGGGGGCCCGCACAAGCGGUGGAGCAUGUGGUUUAAUUCGAAGCAACGCGAAGAACCUUACCUGGCCUUGACAUGCUGAGAACUUUCCAGAGAUGGAUUGGUGCCUUCGGGAACUCAGACACAGGUGCUGCAUGGCUGUCGUCAGCUCGUGCCGUGAGAUGUUGGGUUAAGUCCCGUAACGAGCGCAACCCUUGUCCUUAGUUACCAGCACCUCGGGUGGGCACUCUAAGGAGACUGCCGGUGACAAACCGGAGGAAGGUGGGAUGACGUCAAGUCAUCAUGGCCCUUACGGCCAGGGCUACACACGUGCUACAAUGGUCGGUACAAAGGGUUGCCAAGCCGCGAGGUGGAGCUAAUCCCAUAAAACCGAUCGUAGUCCGGAUCGCAGUCUGCAACUCGACUGCGUGAAGUCGGAAUCGCUAGUAAUCGUGAAUCAGAAUGUCACGGUGAAUACGUUCCCGGGCCUUGUACACACCGCCCGUCACACCAUGGGAGUGGGUUGCUCCAGAAGUAGCUAGUCUAACCGCAAGGGGGACGGUUACCACGGAGUGAUUCAUGACUGGGGUGAAGUCGUACAAGGUAACCAAGGGGAA